UACGAAGGGGGGCUAGCGUUGCUCGGAAUCACUGGGCGUAAAGGGCGCGUAGGCGGCGUUUUAAGUCGGGGGUGAAAGCCUGUGGCUCAACCACAGAAUUGCCUUCGAUACUGGGACGCUUGAGUGUGGUAGAGGUUGGUGGAACUGCGAGUGUAGAGGUGAAAUUCGUAGAUAUUCGCAAGAACACCGGUGGCGAAGGCGGCCAACUGGACCAUCACUGACGCUGAGGCGCGAAAGCGUGGGGAGC
rnacentral:rRNA from 1 species